UACGUAGGGGGCAAGCGUUAUCCGGAUUUACUGGGUGUAAAGGGAGCGUAGACGGUUCUGCAAGUCUGAAGUGAAAGCCCGUGGCUUAACCGCGGAACGGCUUUGGAAACUGUGGAACUGGAGUGCUGGAGAGGCAAGCGGAAUUCCUAGUGUAGCGGUGAAAUGCGUAGAUAUUAGGAGGAACACCAGUGGCGAAGGCGGCUUGCUGGACAGUAACUGACGUUGAGGCUCGAAAGCGUGGGGAGCAAACAGG
rnacentral:rRNA from 1 species